rnacentral:lncRNA from 1 species
AAAACUCCGAUGGUGGAUCAGGUAAUUCAGUUGCUCUUCUGUUUUGUCUGGGAAAAUUCAAUAAUCAAUUCCUCUCUCUUUUCUGUCUUUUGCAUAAUCUGGGUUGCAGAUGCUCAGCAACAAAACCUUUCUGGAAGGGGUGAUAAAUCGAGCUCCACUUCGCCGUGUGGGAGAUCCGAAGGAGGUGUCAUCUUUGGUGGCAUUCCUCUGUCUACCAGCAUCAUCUUACAUUACUGGACAGACUAUUUGUGUCGAUGGUGGCGUGACUGUUAAUGGUUUUGAGCCAAACCUGUUAUAGGAACAUCAUUAAGACUCAAAAAUCUUAGCUUCCUCUACCGCUUUCCUGUUUGGAUCCUGUCUUUUUCCUGAAUAAUCUGUUUGUGAUGGUAAGUACUCUUCUGUUUUUUCGGUGUGGGGUUCAUCUGAAAACAUUGUUGCAUGAUGCUUAUAAUAAUCGUUGGAAAGUUUGUAAGAAGUUACUUAUCAUUGGAUGAGAUUCUUGUGAUGAGUGUUUCCUAUAAUCAGAUUUAUCUUGUUAUAAGGUUGUUGUUGUAGUAGUAACUGCAAUUCAAAGGAAAUUAAUUUAGUAUAAUACUGUAGGUUGUUGUCUAGUGUCUACUACCUCAGCUUCUCAUCCCACCCAACUCUCCCUCUUUAACUACCUAAUAUGAAAUUAAAAUAUGAAUUUAACAACCUGUCCGUCUUGUCCACCGUUUCUUUGGCUCUUCAGUCUUCAGACUUCGGCCUUUUAAAGCAGGACCUAAAAGGUUUGGGCCCAAAUGUUGGAAAAACUUAACACAGGCUGCAAUUUUGGGCCCCAAAACUCUUUCCAACUGGGCCUGAACACUUUUAGGCCCAAGAUGCUUUAGAUUUUGGACUCGCAGACCAUGUAUAUGCCCUCAACACCACCAUGCUUUACUUCAUCCCUUCCUUUCAAAUUAAAAGGAAAUUCAAAUUUCAUGAUGUUACAACUUGCUCAUUGAUGUACAUUCCCAUUCACAAAAAAUAAAAUAUUAAAUGCACUUAUCCAAAAUAUCUUCAUACCUACCUAUUUUUAUUUUUAAAAUAAAAUUUAAACGUUGAAUAACAAAAAUACCAUUUUUGUCAUCCUUACCCUUCACCCUUCCGAAACCCUAAUCUAAUCUUCCCUUUCUCUCUUCUUUCAUUUUCCAUCUUCUUAAAUGGGAAAAUAACGAUCAUCAGAGCCCACCGUGACUUGUGACAGGUUCGAUCCCUUAACAAUGACGAGGCCAUUAUGGAUAAUAUAAGGAUAAGCAUUACAAUAUUUCACUCCUUCACGUGCAUCUCCCUUCACACAAAGAUGCUUCCUUCACUCAUUUUAUAUUAAUAAUAUGAUAAAUUAUACAAAAAAAAAACAAUUUUUUUUUUAUCAAAAUUGUUUUCAACAAUAUUUCAAAUAUAUAUAUAUAUAUAUAUAUAUAUAUAAAUUUGGAAAACUUGUAUUUUGGAGCUGCUAUUUAGAAAUUAUAUAGUUUUCGGAACCCAAAAAUGAGAAAUAUGAUAAUCAAAUUUUAAUAUGAAAAGUAUUAUCGUUUUUGUGCACUUUGAGUAGACUUCAUCUUUUGUGCCCAAAUGGCCCCUCCAUGUCUCCAGCUCAGCAUUCUUAGCAUCAUCCCAACCUUUGUGUCAGUAGAACCAUUGAAAUUAAGAAAAAAAAAAACACAAAAAUCUAAAUUUGUAACUUCUCAAAAAAAAAAAAAAAAAAACCCAAUCUGCAAGUUUUCAAUUUGCUCAUUUGGAAAACAUUUUUUUUUAUAAAUAUCAAUAUUAUUUUUAAAAAAUGGUGACUUUUAGCUUUUAAUUAAAACUAAGAACAAGAAGUUAUUCCAAAUAUGACUUAUGUAUUUAUUCAGUGAAAGUAAUUUUUUCAUUUAAAAAAAGUAAUUUCUUGGUGAUAAAAAGAAAUAUUUUUUUAGUAGCUUUUCGAUGCUAUAAAAAAAGUGUUGGCUAAGUUUGUAUGAUAAAAUUGGUGUUAUUUAUAUACCAGCACUUUCGCUAGGGUCUUAUUUAUUGGGAAAACUGAUUAAUAAACUAAUCUUCUGUUUUGUUUUCAGUUCAAAGAGUGGUAGAGUAGAGGAGGAGGCAUGGCUCAGACAUUUGGGUGCAGCUCUGGAGAUAGUAGAUGGUCUCUCAAGGGAAUGACUGCUCUUGUAACUGGUGGAACUAAAGGAAUUGGGUUGGUGUUACCUGUUUUUAUGUCUUUGGGUUUGGACUAUACCUUCCUAUAUAUAAACGUAUGUAUCAAUUCUGCAGGCAUGCAAUUGUGGAGGAACUGGCUGGAUUAGGAGCAACCAUACACACGUGUUCUCGAAAAGAAACCGAGCUCAAUGAAUGCUUGAAGGAUUGGAAAGCUAAAGGUUUUGGAGUGAGUGGUUCAGUGUGUGAUGUAUCCUCUCGGGCCCAAAGGGAGAAGCUAAUGGAGACUGUCUCUUCUGUGUUCAAAGGGAAGCUGAAUAUCCUUGUAAGUUCCUCUAGUCUCUAAGGUUCCGAUCCAUGAUAUUCCACAUACUUUGUCGAACUUCCAACAAUUUGAGUUCCCCUACUUGAUAUAUAUAUUUUGGUUCCGGAUUCAGGUCAACAACGCUGCUAUUGUUAUUCAGAAACCAACAGUAGAGGUCACGGCAGAAGAGUUCUCAACAAUCAUGGCCAUAAAUUUUGAAUCUGUGUAUCAUCUGUCCCAACUCGCACACCCCCUUUUAAAGGCAUCAGGAGCGGGAAGCAUUGUAUUCAUCUCCUCUGUUGCCGGCGUAGUGUCAAUCAAGUAUCUGUCUGCUUAUUCAGUAACCAAAGGUAUUUCAUUACAUGAUCCACAUUAUAUAUAUAUAUAUAUAUUGCAAGUUCUUGGGUUGUGGCCCUUGUGGCCUUCUCGGCGUGUCAUUAUCAUUAUCAUAUUGUGAUUUUUCAGGAGCAAUGAAUCAGCUUACAAAGAAUUUGGCAUGCGAGUGGGCGGAAGACAAUAUUAGAAGUAAUGCAGUUGCUCCUUGGUACAUCAAAACUCCGAUGGUGGAUCAGGUAAUUCAGUUGCUCUUCUGUUUUGUCUGGGAAAAUUCAAUAAUCAAUUCCUCUCUCUUUUCUGUCUUUUGCAUAAUCUGGGUUGCAGAUGUUCAGUAACAAAACCUUUCUGGAAGAGGUGAUAAAUCGAGCUCCACUUCGCCGUGUGGGAGAUCCGAAGGAGGUGUCAUCUUUGGUGGCAUUCCUCUGUCUACCAGCAUCGUCUUACAUUACUGGACAGACUAUUUGUGUCGAUGGUGGCGUGACUGUUAAUGGUUUUGAGCCAAACCUGUUCUAGGAACAUCAUUAAGACUCUCAAAAAUCUUAGCUUCCUCUACCGCUUUCCUGUUUGGAUCCUGUCUUUUUCCUGAAUAAUCUGUUUGUGGUGGUAAGUACUCUUCUGUUUUUUCGGUGUGGGGUUCAUUUGAAAACAUUGUUGCAUGAUGCUUAUAAUAAUCGUUGGAAAGUUUGUAAGAAGUUACUUAUCAUUGGAUGAGAUUCUUGUGAUGGGUGUUUCCUAUAAUCAGAUUUAUCUUGUUAUUGUAGUAAUAGGAUUGAAAGAAAAAUGCAAAUAAUCAUAAAAGGAUGAUGAAAAUCGGGAAGAGUUCAUCAUUUUUACUUAUUCAAAUAUUACACCAUCUCUUAUUUACAAUAAAUUUCAAAGAGUGUAAGUGAAACCAACCUUAAAUUAAUUUUGUUUGAUAAAUUUAGAUGAAAUUCAACAAGUGUGAAUCUUUAAUUUUUUUUCAUUUCAAUUAAUUUGGUAUCUAUUAUGAGGUUGCCCAUCAAGCUAAAAAUGACCAAAUAUGAUAUAAGCAUGAAGUCUUUGUUAUAUCUCGGAGAUUAAGAAUUGAUUCCAAUACUUUAUAACUUCCUCUUUUUACUUUAUAUAUCCAUGAAUUUAAGAUAGGUCCCUCACAUGUUUAGCUUCUCCCCUUGACGUACGUAGUGUCAUAUGGACAAUAAUUAAUGCUUGUUCAGCUAAGGUCAAAUAUAUGAAAACAAAUAAGAUUCAUUCACGUAAAACAUACAUGUAGCAAAGAGACGAAGGAAAGUGGGUUCUGUGAUCUAUCACACAUCAUGGAAAAAGCUGUGGUACCAUGGCUUUUCCAGGACUUUUCCUUGCAUAAUGGUACUGACAACAGUAUGCUAUUCUGUUGUUACUCUUAAGAUAUUUUAAUAUAAAGUAGCGCGUAUGUACUAUAUACAAUUCAGUGACGCCAUCUAACACGUUAGCCAAUAAGGUUACAAAUUUUAAUUUUAUAUUAAUAAUAUGAUUUGGGUAUGCUCCAUAUUUUAAAAUAUAAUUGAAUCAUAAAUAUCUAGAACUAGAAAUCCUUUUGAGGGACCAAUAACAUAAAUCAUUAAAAUUUUAUAAUUUGAUAUUAUAAAUUCCUAAUUAAAUUUUAAAAUAUAUUAAAUUUAUUUGAUAUAAAUAUAUAUAAAAAUAAAGAAAAAAAUUAAUAUUUUCAUAUGAUAAAUUAUACAAAAAAAAACAAAUAUAUUUUUUUUUAUCAAAGUUGUUUUCAACAAUAUUUCAAAAAUAUAUAUAUAAAUUUGGGAAACUUGUAUUUUGGAGCUGCUAUUUAGAAAUGAUAUGGUUUUCAGAACCCAAAAAUGGGAAAUAUGAUAAUCAAUUUUUAAUAUGAAAAGUAUUAUCGUUUUUGUGCAUUCUGAGUCGGCUUCAUCUUUUGUGCCCAAAUUGCCCCUCCAUGUCUCCAGCUCAGCAUUCUCAACAUCAUCCCAACCUCCAUGUCAGUAGGACCAUUGAAAUUAAGAAAAAAAAAAACACUAAAAUCUAAAUUUGUAACUUCUCAAAAAAAAAAAAACCCAAUAUGCAAGUUUUCAAUUUGCUCAUUUGGAAGCUUUUUCUCAUCUUUUUCUCUCAUUUUAGUUUAGAAACUCAAAUCCAAAACUCUAAAUGUGAUAUGUUGUGGAAUUGUUUUCAUAGUCCUUAACAAGAUGCAUGCGGCAUGUACUGAACUUUAACCUAAUUCCUUCUACCAAUUUUUCUGGCCCCAAGUUACUAGGGACUAUGGCUCCGAUUGGGUGGUUUUUGAGUAGUCAAAAACCAUUUUUAAAGCUUAGUAAAAAAUUUUAUGCCCCUCAUUUUAUUUAAACAAUUUAUAACUUAAAAAAAUAAGAAAAUAAAAAAAAAUGUUUUUUUAAGCUUUAUUUUGACUUAUUCAAAAAGUUUUUUUAUUUUUUUUAUUUUUAUGUUUAAUACAUUUUUUAUAAUUUCAAUAUUAUUUUUAAAAAAUAGUGACUUUUAGCUUUUAAUUAAAACUAAGAACAAGAAGUUAUUCCAAAUAUGACUUAUGUAUUCAUUCAAUGAAAGUAACUUUUUCAUUUAAAAAAAGUAAUUUCUUGGUGAUAAAAAGAAAUAUUUUUUUAGUAGCUUUUUGAUGCUAUAAAAAAAGUGUUGGCUAAGUUUGUAUGAUAAAAUUGGUGUUAUUUAUAUACCUGCACUUUUGCUAGGGUCUUAUUUAUAGGGAAACUUGUGUUUAAUAUGCUCAAUUCUAUUUCUUUGUAUGGCUAUGCAAUUGUUCAGAUUUGGCAACACUAAUCAAUAAAUGUACGUUAUAUUUGAAACAUUGGAAUAAAAAAAAGAAUAAGAGUUAAUUUUAUUUUCAAUUUAUUACUAUAUUUGAAUUAUUUUUUACAAUGAUAAUAGAAUUAAAAAGAAAAUCACUUAGUAACCCUUAGGUACUACCUUAAUAUACCUUAAAUAACCUUAAUCGAUCUUAGAUAUUAUCUUAGUUACACUUGGGUACUACCUAUGUGAAGCCUCAAAACUUCAUUUGUAGACAUUACUUCAUGUGUGAACAUUAGAGAUGACAUUAUGUGCACCUUUAAUAAGUGUUACUAAGGUAGUACCUAAGGUACAAUCAACACUAUAUCAAAGGUGCACAUAAUGUCAUGCUCUAAUGUUCACAAAUAAAGUAAGUAAUGUUUACAAAUGAAGUUUCCAGGCUUCACACAGGUAGUAUCCAAGUCUAAUUAAGUAGUACCUAAGGUCGGUAAGGUAGAUUAAGGUAAUACCUAAGGGUUACUAAGGUAGUACCUAAGGUACAAUCACCACUAUAUCAAAGGGGCACAUAAUGUCAUGCUCUAAUGUUCACAAAUAAAGUAAGUAAUGUCCAUAAAUAAAGUUUCGAGGCUUCACACAGGUGGUACCCAAGUUUAACUGAGAUAAUACCUACAAUUAGUUAAAAUUAGUACCUACAAUCAGUUAAGAUAGUACUUAAGAUAAAUUAAUGUAGUACCUAAAGGUUACUAAGGUAGUACCUAAAGGUUACUAAGGUAGUACCUAAGGUACAGUAAAUACUAAAGAACAAUAAAUAAAAAUUAAUUACCUUCGUAUUUCGAGUAGGGGUUAGGGAAAAAUGUGACAGAAUGACAGGAAGACGAGACAUUUUUUUUUAGGAAACCAAUAUUUUGGAUUUCACCUUUUCGUCCAAGUACGCUUUGCUAUAGAAAAAUCAAUAUCAUAGUUGCGCCUAUUGAAACCAUCUUUUAACUGGACGUUCUUAGGAUGGAGUGCUCCAUUUGGUUGUUGAGAAUUUAGACAAGAAAGAAAAAUGCAGGUUGGAGUUUUGGAUUAAGGGUUUCUUUUCUCAAAUUGAAGAAAUUUUAGGAAAUUUUAAAUGGGUUUUAGGAUCGUCUGGGUGAUAAAGCCAAGAGAAAUAGAGAAAGAAAUGUUUCCAACCUUUAAGAGGAAAAAGUUUCAGAUUUGGGAAAUUUGAGAUGGUUCCCGGGUCAAGUGUUUUUUUGUGUUUUAGAUUUGAGAAGUUUCAAAUUCUUGGAGAAGAUAUAAAUAUGUAGAUUUGAAUUUUAAGGGUUUCUUUUUUGAAAUGAGAGAAAUUUUGGAAAAUUUUAUAGGUGUCUUUCUAAUUCGGCUAGGUAAGGAAGUGAAGAGAGUUGAGAGAAAAUGUUCCCAAAUGAGAGAGAUGGAAAGUUUUUGAUUUGGGAAAUUAGAGGUGUUGUCAGGAUGGGUGUUUAUGAGAACUUUCAAAUUCUAAUUUUUGUGUUUUGUUUAAUUUCAGAAGGUCUUGUUGACAUGAAAAGCUGACUUACUGCUGACAUGGAGACAUUGAGGGACAAUCUGGGAAUAGAAAAUGUAAACAUGACAUAGUGCAUGAGAACGAUAAUAUUUUCUCCAAUAACAGGGAAAUAUCAUAUUUCAUAUACUUGGGGUUCGAAAAGCAUAUAAUUUUCAAAUCACAGACUGAAAACACAAGUUUCCCAUAAAUAUACUUAAAGCAUGUUUGAUAACAAUUUUGAAAAAUAAUUUUCGAAAAUAGUUAUUUAAAAUUGUUUUUUGAUGUUUACAACAUAAAAAAAAAAAAAAAACAUGUUUGACAACCUAAAAUAAUUUUUAUAUCUAAUAUUUUAUUUUUAAUAAUUCGAUAUAUUUGUAUAAUUAUUUUUAAAAAUAGCUGUAAAAAAUAAGUGAAAACAAGUAAAGAUGUUAUCCGAAAACAUUAUAUUUUUUAUUUUUAAAAACAAAAAAUAGUUUUUCUUAUUCUCAAACAAGUUUUCCUGUUUUUUACGAAGAAAAAAUUAUUGUCAAACAAUCCCUUAUAUACUUGUGUUUUAUCAAGUGGUGAAAUAUCUUUGUAUGAAUUAUAUAGCAACUCAUAAGAGUAAGAGAAAAAGAGACAAUUUUAAAAGUGCAUAUGACAAGUGGAAAUUAUUAGAAAAGAGGCAAUUUUAAGAAUGGAUUUGAUAUGUGUCACAAAGACCACUAAAAUUUGGUGUGAAUAUAUAAAUAAGUUUUAAAUUUUGUUGAUUAACAUAUCUAUAAAUUUUUUUAUUUAUAAAAUUUAAUUUUUAGAGAAAUUUUAGAUAAAAAGAUUUUAGAUCUAUUCAAUCAAAAAUUGAAAGAGUAACUUAAUGUAUUUACUCUAAGCCUCAUGGUGUGUGAAUUAAACCAACCUUCAAAGAAAAAUAGAAAAAAAAAAAAGUGAAUCAUAAUAAAAAGGAAAGUAGUCAAAAUCAAAAGGAGAAUCAAAUUUGAUUUCCAUAUUAGUGAUUUUUUAAAAAAAAUUCUAUUAUCAUUGUAAAAAAUAAUUCAAAUACAUUAAUAAAUUGAAAAUAAACUUAACUCUUAUUCUCAUUUCUUAUUCCAAUGUUUCAAAUAUAACGUCCAUUUAUUGAUUAGUGUUGCCAAAUCCGAACAAUUGCAUAGCAAUACAAAGAAAUGGAAUUGAGCAUAUAAAACACUUUUUUUUUAUAGUAUCAAAAAGCUACUGAAAAAAAUAUUUCUUAUCUCCAAGAAAUUACUUUUUUAAAAUGAAAAAAUUACUUUCAUUGAAUGAAUACAUAAGCCGUAUUUGGAAUAACUUCUUAUUCUUAAUUUUAAUUAAAAGCAAAAAGUCACAAUUUUUUAAAAAUAAUAUUGAUAUUAUAAAAAAUGUAUUAAACAUAAAAAAACCUUUUUGAAUAAAUCAAAAUAAAGCUUUAAAAAAAACAUUUUCUUGAUUUUCAUAUUAAGUUAUUUUUUAAGUUAUAAAUUAUUUAAAUAAAAUGAGCAGCAUAAAAAAUCUUAUAGAGCUUUAAAAAUGGUUUUUGACUACUCAAAUCCACCCAAUCGGAACCAUCAUCCCGGUAACUUGGGGCCAGAAAAAUUGGCAAAAGGAAUGAGGUUAAAGUUCAGUACGUGUUGCAUGCAUCUUAUUAAAGACCAUAAAAGCAAUUCCAUAAUAUAUCACAUUUGGAGUUUUGGAUUUGGGUUUUUAAACUAAAAUGAGAGAAAUUUUGGGUUGUCGAAAGCGAAGAAAGAUGAGAGAAAACUUUCAAAUAAGUAAAUUGAAAACUUACAGAUUGUGUGUGUGUGUUUUUUUUUUUUUUUUUUAAAAAAAGUUAUAGAUUAAGAUUUUAAUAUUUUUUUUUUCUUAAUUUCAGUGGUUUGAUUGAUAUAGAGGUUGAAAUGAUGUUGAGGAUGCUAAGCUGGAGACAUGAAUGGGCAACUUGGGCAUGAAAGAUGGAGCCAGCUCAGAGGCAUAAAAACGAUAAUACUUUUUAUAUUAAAAAUUGAUUUUCAUAUUAAAUUUUAUACAUCUAUUUUAAAACAAUUAAAAUUUUAUUCAAUUUUCAAUUAUAAUAUAUGCACUGCCUCUCGCGGGUCGAUACUGCUGACGAGUGCAUGAAAUUAUUAUAAAUAUCUCAUGGAAUGAGGACAGAUUAAAGAAGAGGAGAGAGAGAGAGAGAGAGGGAGAAGAAGAAGACAACCAAAAAAGAAAAGGAAGACAGCAUUGUAAACAUAGAAAAUGGAAAGUAUUGGAAAUAUUUCAUGAAAUCGGAGUAAACAACAAAACAAAAUAAAAUACUUUUAAUCCCUGUUUCCUACUUCUGUCAUAAAGUAUGGAUAGAGAUGAGACGAAGGAGGAGAAGGAGGAGAAGGAGGAGCACUCAGCUUUCACCGAUACUGCAGUGUGUUGUGGUGGUGUAGCAUAUGGUAGGAUGUCAUUCUUGCUCCAAAAGUGUGGGCAGAUCCAUUUUUAUUUUCCUUUUUUCAUCUCUGUCCUCACUGAUUCGUUUUGGGUAUCCAUCAAUAUUUAUCAGUGGGCUUGGUGUUAGUCAAAAGCCACCAAUUUUUCUUUCCUUUUUUUUUUUCCCAUAUAUUAGAAUGAAAUGUUGUUGUCCAUUUUAGGGGAAGGCGUUAUGCUGAACUGAACUGUGCGAGGGGAAUGAAAAUUAAUUUAGGGGUUUUCUUCCUCCUCUAUUUUUGGCUCUCUUUCAUGAGGGUACAGAUUCUCUUUUUUUCUCUCGGAGUGUUUGGAUUGUUUCAUUCCAUUUAACUAUUUUUGCAGCAUAUUCCGAGUGUUAUAGGUAUUGGGUAAUCAGUAAUACAGAAAAUGUAAUAUAAUUUUGUACUAUGUAGUUUUGGACUUGGGGUAGGAUGAGUUUAAUUUAUGUAGAUUCAUGUCACUAUUCUCAGCCUUCAAUGCAUUGAUUUCUCCAGAUUUUGAUAUAUAUAUAUAUAUAUAUAUACAAACUGCAAUGGGAAUAAAAAGGAUGGUUGUUUCUUCAAGAAUUCUGAGAAAAAAAAAGGGGGUGGGGGGGCAAGAGAGGUUUGAGGAGGCCAUUGGGACUGUUAUCAGUUCUGUGUCUUUUGUUUUCAAGUUGUAAGAAGUCCCUGUUAUGCCAUUUGCUAUGUUGUUUCUGUCCAAUUUUCAGUUGAAAGAGUGGUAGAUUAGAGAAGGAGGAAUGGCUCAGACAUCUGGAUGCAGCUCUGGAGAUAGUAGAUGGUCUCUCAAGGGAAUGACUGCUCUCGUAACUGGUGGAACUAAAGGAAUUGGGUUUGUGAUGUUACCUGUAUUCUAUGUCUUUGGUUUGGACUACACCUUCCUUCCCAUAUAUAAAUGUAUGUAUCAAUUAUGCAGGCAUGCAAUUGUGGAAGAACUGGCUGGACUAGGAGCAACCAUACACACAUGUUCUAGAAAAGAAACCGAGCUCAAUGAAUGCUUGAAGGAUUGGAAAGCUAAAGGUUUUGGAGUGAGUGGUUCAGUGUGUGAUGUAUCCUCUCGGGCCCAAAGGGAGAAGCUAAUGCAGACUAUCUCUUCUGUGUUCAAUGGGAAGUUGAAUAUCCUUGUAAGUUCCUCUAGCCUGUAAAGUUCCAACCUGUGAUCUUAUACAUAAUUUGUUGAACUUAUUACAAUUGAGUUCCCCUGCUUGAAUUUUUGUUGGAUUCAGAUCAACAAUGCUGCUAUAAGUAUUCAGAAACCAACAAUAGAGGUCACAGCUGAAGAGUUCUCAACAAUCAUGGCCACAAAUUUUGAAUCUGUGUACCAUCUGUCCCAAAUCGCACACCCCCUUUUAAAGGCAUCAGGAGCCGGAAGCAUUGUAUUCAUCUCCUCUGUUUCCGGCAUAGUGGCACACAAGAAUAUCUCUGCUUAUUCAGUAACCAAAGGUAUUUCAUCACAUGAUCCAUGGUAUAUUCCAAGUGCUAGGAGUAAAUUCCUAUUUACCAGAGCAAUACUGAACAAGAGAAACAUAUAGAAUUUAUAGCGGUUCUCUUCUAAAGGGAGAGCUACAUCCAUUUUGCCAUUGUAGAUUUUCAUUAUGAAAAAAAAAAAAACCUACAGAACGAUCUCAGGUCUUACAAUAAUUAUCUCAUCUCUGAUUUUCCACAGAGAAAACAGUCACCAUGCAUGUACAAAAUAACUAUAAUAUCCCUUUGAUUGAUUCUCAGUCACCAGGAAAAGUGUAUAUUGUAAUUAGCAAGGCUCCACACAACUGAACAGCAAGUCCUUGGAUUGACCAUCUGUCAUUAUCAUUUUGUGAUUUUUCAGGAGCAAUGAAUCAACUUACAAAGAAUUUGGCAUGCGAGUGGGCGAAAGACAAUAUUAGAAGUAAUGCUGUAGCUCCUUGGUACAUCAAAACUCCAAUGGUGGAGCAGGUAAUUUCUAAUUUCCCUUCACAUCAUUUAGUUGCUCGAAUUCCCUUCUUUUUUUCUUGGUCUGGGAAAAUAGAAUAAUUGACUCGUCCUUCCUUCUCUGUCGUUUACAUUCUCUGGGUUCCAGAUGCUCACUAACCAAGCCUUUCUGGAAGAGGUGAUAAAUCGAGCUCCACUUCGUCGUGUGGGAGAUCCAAAGGAGGUGUCAUCUUUGGUAGCAUUCCUCUGCCUACCGGCAUCAUCUUACAUUACUGGACAGAUUAUUUGUGUUGAUGGUGGCAUGACUGUUAAUGGUUUUGAGUCAAACCUGCUCUAGGAACAUCAUAUGUGAUGGUAUUAUAGCCCUAAUUUGGCUGGCAUGUAUGGAGACUCUUUCAAACAUCUUAGCUUCCUCUACUGCUUCCAUGCCUGGAUCCUUUCUUUUUCCUGAAUAAUCUGCUUGUCAUGCCAAAGUCUUUAGUUUUUUUGGUGUGGGGUUCCCUUGAAAACCUUGCUGCAUGAUGCUUAUAAUAAUGUUUGGAAAGUUUGCUAAUUUUUAUUUGGGUUCAAAUUUUAAUUUUUCAAAAAGUUUCUUAUUAUUUGAUGAGAUUCUUGUGAAGGGUGUUUUUAUAAGGAUUUUAAUUCCAUACAUAAAUCAUACAUCUUUAAUCUCAAUACCAUUGAAAUAUAUAUCCAAUCCUUUGUUGUUCUUUCGUUUUUUUGUAACUUAAUUGUAGUAGGAUCGGAAAUAUGCGAACACUUUCUACUUUUGACCAUUUGCUUUGCUAAAUUAGACCAACUUUUCAUAAUACAAUUCUCAAGUAUUUCUUCAUUUUCAUUACAAUGAUCAUGCAUGGAUAUGGAAAAACUAAUCGGACUCUAAUGUCGUUCAAAUGCAUUUCAUAGAUCAAUCUUCAUCGUCGUAUCCUAAUUUUCAAAACUUGUUAGAACUUCUAAACUUAGUCAAUAUGUAUAGACAUGAUAUCCUCCAUGAUUUUUUUUUAUUGCAACGAAAAAAAGUUAUACAUUCUAUAUUUGAUCCCUAAAUAAAAAAGAAAAAAAGAAAAAAAAAAGAAUGUCUUGCAAAAAUAUUAGGGUUGCACAAAGUUUGGUUGUUAGAAUAAGUAAAAAUGAUGUGCAUCAAAAUAUGUCUUUGAGAAUGGCAAAUAUGUGAGUGCGCUUUAAAAACUCAAAUGGCUUCAAAUGAAUUUCAAGGAAAUGAUUCCAACAUAUAUUCAUCUUCUUAUACCUUUCUGUGCUUCUCCACCAUUUGUAACAAUUUCCUCACUCAUUUGUAAUCCUAAUAAACCUUCCGACCUAUUUUAAAAUUUGUCAAUAUAUUUUAAGCUAAGCUCACCAUCUAUAGUAUCAAAAAAAUUUCUCCUUAAUCCAUGUGGGAUAUGUAUAAUGAAUAAUAUUUGCUCAAAGGUUAAAUAUAUGAAAAUAAUUAAGAUUCAAUCACAUAAAAAUUACAUAUAGCAAGUAGGGAUAACAAUUUUGAUACUAAUAUAAUAAAACGACUAAAAAAUUACAUGGAUUUUAGUAGUUUUGGGUUAAGUAUAAUCAUAUUUAUGUUAUAAUUGUGUAAACACAUUUAUUAAACCAAUGAUAUUGGAAUGUGACUAUUCAACUCAUUUAACCCAUUUAUUUAUUCAUAUCAAAACACAUCUAUGAUAUGAUUAUGAGAACUAAUUUAUGAUUGACAUAACCAAUUUAUAACUUAUUAAUUAAUUCAUAUAAAUUUAUUAAUUUUAUAGAUAUUUAAAAAAUAUUAAAAAUUUAAAACACUUUUUCAAUUAUAAAGAUGUCCUAUAAAACACUAAGGAGGUCACCCUUAUUUAUAUAUGAAAUUAGGGAAUUAAAUUUGAAAUAUAUGAUAUUUGAUUACUUAAUUUAAAGAAUUUGAUUUCUUAAUUUCAAUAACUUUUCAGCCUCAUUUAAGAAAUUUGCCAACAAUCAAAUGUUUUUUCUAAGUCCCUUUUGACUUCAAUUUCCCAAUUUGUUUCUCCUAUUUGAGAAAUCUAUCAAUAAGAAAAUAUUUCUCUCUAAUUCCUUUUUAACUUUAAUUAUUUUAUUUUAUUUUAUAAGACUAGAUUUUGAAACCGUUCAAAUUUUACCGUGUGUUAUUUUUAAAAUCGUAUAUCGCAUGUUCAAUGUGUAGAAUUCAUGACUUAUGAAAUCCAAAUUUUAUUGAACUAUAGGGUUAUAACUUUAGUGACAAAUUUUAUAGUAAUUUAAUCCUUCUUUUAUUUUUAAGCCUACAUAGCUCAACAAGUUGAAUAUAUUUUUAUCGUGUUAAUGGGUUAUCAGUCUUGAUUUAAUUUAAUUUAUCAAAGAGGUUAAAUGAAUGAUUCCCAAUUUGCCACCACAAUAACAAGAGACAACAGACAGAAGGAAAGAGAAACUAAAAUACGUAAUGUGACUUUUCCUUUCAUGUUGCUUACUAUACUUGGUGUCUCUUAAUUUGUUUUUAUUAUAAGAUGUUAAUAAUAUGAUUUUAUUGAUUUAUACCCCAUAUAUAUCAUUUGAGGGAUUGAAAAUAUUGCAAAUUCAUAAUUAAAUUUAAAAGAUAAAUACAUAUACACACACACACAUAUAUAUAUAUAUAUAUAUAUAUAUAUAUAUAUAUAUGAAUAAAAAAAAUCAUCUAUGUAUAAAAUAAUAAUAAGUAGUCUAUUUUUAUCAUUUUUAUGUUAGAAGUUAAUCGAAAACAUAUUUUUUGUUUUUCCAUAAUUUAUACAAAAUUAUAAUAAAAUUUUUAUUCUAGAUAAAAUUAUAUUUUAUAAUUUGUAAUAAUUUAAUUAUAUCAAUUUAAUAUUUUGAUAUCCGUCGUAAAUUAUAUAGAAAUAUUGGAGUGCAAAUACUAAACUACAUAAUAACAACAAGACACCUUAUUCAUCCAAAUUUUCAAAUUUCAAAUAGAAAAUAUUAAAAACAUAAUUUUUAAAUUUAUUAAAAUAUUUAUAUUUGUAAAAAAGUAAUUAAUAAAGAUUUUAAAAUUUUAAAUAUGAUUAAUGAGAUUAUUAUGUGGGUAUUUAUUACUAAUAUUUAAUAUUAAAAAAAAUAAAAUAACAAUAUGAUAUUAAGAUUAUAUUUUUAUAAAUAUAGCAAAAUGAGAUUAUUCUAAAUUCAGUGAUGAUAACAUUAUAGUAAAAAUAAGGAGUGAUAUAAUUAUAAAUAUUUCACUAAGAGCAUAAAAAAUAAAAAAAUAUGGUAAAUUUAGCGAGUAAUAUUGUUACUAUAAAUAUCUGGUGACACGACGACAGAUAUAUGAGUAGAGAAAAACCUCGCUAUUCUACAUAUAGAGAUUCAGAUACCAUUGCCUAUGUCAUGAAAUCAGAGUCCACAAGAAGACAACAUAAAAUGCUAUCGAUCCAUCGCUGUUUCUUGCUCCUGUUAUAAAUUAUGGAUACUAGAUGAAGAUGAGAAGUAGAAGGAGAAGAAACACUUAGCUUUCAAGGAGUCGUAGAGCAGAGGAGGAGACAUGGCUCAGACAUGUGGGUGCAGCUCUGGAGAUAGUAGAUGGUUUCUCAAGGGAAUGACUGCUCUUGUAACCGGUGGAACUAAAGGAAUUGGGUUGGUGUUACCUGUUUUUACGUCUUUGGGUUUGGACUACACCUUCCUAUAUAUAAACGUAUGUAUCAAUUCUGCAGGCAUGCAAUUGUGGAGGAACUGGCUGGAUUAGGAGCAACCAUACACACGUGUUCUCGAAAAGAAAGCGAGCUCAAUGAAUGCUUAAAGGAUUGGAAAGCUAAAGGUUUGGAGUGAGUGGUUCAGUGUGUGAUGUAUCCUCUCGGGCCCAAAGGGAGAAGCUAAUGGAGACUGUCUCUUCUGUGUUCAAUGGGAAGCUGUAUAUCCUUGUAAGUUCCUCUAGUCUCUAAGGUUCCUAUCCAUGAUAUUCCACAUACUUUGUCGAACUUCCUACAAUUUGAGUUCCCCUACUUGAUAUAUAUAUAUAUAUAUAUAUUAUAUACUUUUUUUUAGAACCAGACAGCUUUGGUUUCAAAGACCCUACAUUUACCCAUCAUCCUUGUUAAAUAAUUAUGAGGAAGUCAUACUUACACGUGGAGAUUGAAAAAAAUAAUGAAUGAAUUCCACCAAAUGAAUUAAUUUUGUUUGGCAAUUUCAUUUGAAAAUCAACAAAGAAUGAUGUGAGGUGUGAAUCUUUUUCCAUAUAUCAGCGCACAUAUUCAAAUUCAGCCCUUUCCAUUAAUCUGAUAGCGAUUAUGAGGUUGCGUAGAUGCUACAACAACGACCAAAUGUGAUGAAGAUUUCAGGAAGUGUUGUGAAGAAUUUGAAGAAAAAUAUGAAGAAUUUGAAACAAAAUAUGGAGGAACACCUCAAUUCAUUCUGUGAUACCUUCCUUUACAAUGAAUGAAAGCAUAAAUAAAUAGCCUACGGAUAUGAGACAAUUCCGGAAUGGAAUUUCCCUUACAUGGAAAGUGAAUAAACUCUUACAUGGGAAGUGAAUAAACUACUCUUACAUGGAAAGUGAAUAAACUACCUUGCUAGAAUUACUCCUAAAUAUAUAAACUACUCUUACAUGGAAAGUGAAUAAACUACCUUGCUAGAAUUACUCCUAAAUCAAUUAUAAUAAAGGCUGUACAUUACACUAAUUAGGGAAGUAAACAGAGGAUGCUGGCUUGAUUUCCAACACUCCCCCUCAAGCCGCAUUGUAGAUGUUGAUCAUUCCAAGUUUUUCUGUCAGAUCUUCGAAGUUAACUCGAGCAAGAGCUUUUGUGAGAAUGUCAGCCGUUUGACAGUUUGUCGGAGUGUAGCUGACUUUGAAAACUCCUUCUUCAAUCUUUUCCUUGAUAAAGUGUCGAUCUAUCUCCACGUGCUUAGUUCGAUCAUGAUGAACCGGAUUCUUAGCGAUACUGAUGGCAGCUUGAUUGUCGCAGUAUAACACCAUGGGAUGCUUCAAUGGAACCCGUAAUUCUUCUAACAGCCUGUUCAACCAGAUUCCCUCGCAGAUACCUUGUGCCAUAGCACGAAAUUCUGCCUCAGCACUGCUACGGGCUACCACUGACUGUUUCUUGCUUCGCCAUGUAACCAAGUUCCCUCAGACAAAUGAACAAUAGCCUGAAGUUGAUCUCCGAUCAGUCACUAAACCUGCCCAAUCUGCAUCUGAAAAAAUCUCUAUCUCUUUAUUUGUUGUUCUUUGAAAGAAGAGACCCUUUCCCGGUGUCAUCUUGAGGUAUCUCAAUAUUCUGAUCACAGCAAUCAUGUGUUUUUCGGUUGGAUUAUUCAUGAAUUGACUUACCACACUAACGGAGAAGCCGAUGUCUGGCCUUGUAUGAGAAAGAUAGAUGAGUUUCCCCACAAGACGUUGAUAUCUUCCUUUAUCAACUGGCGCACUUCCAUCACAUUUCUUCCANNNNNNNNNNNNNNNNNNNNNNNNNNNNNNNNNNNNNNNNNNNNNNNNNNNNNNNNNNNNNNNNNNNNNNNNNNNNNNNNNNNNNNNNNNNNNNNNNNNNNNNNNNNNNNNNNNNNNNNNNNNNNNNNNNNNNNNNNNNNNNNNNNNNNNNNNNNNNNNNNNNNNNNNNNNNNNNNNNNNNNNNNNNNNNNNNNNNNNNNNNNNNNNNNNNNNNNNNNNNNNNNNNNNNNNNNNNNNNNNNNNNNNNNNNNNNNNNNNNNNNNNNNNNNNNNNNNNNNNNNNNNNNNNNNNNNNNNNNNNNNNNNNNNNNNNNNNNNNNNNNNNNNNNNNNNNNNNNNNNNNNNNNNNNNNNNNNNNNNNNNNNNNNNNNNNNNNNNNNNNNNNNNNNNNNNNNNNNNNNNNNNNNNNNNNNNNNNNNNNNNNNNNNNNNNNNNNNNNNNNNNNNNNNNNNNNNNNNNNNNNNNNNNNNNNNNNNNNNNNNNNNNNNNNNNNNNNNNNNNNNNNNNNNNNNNNNNNNNNNNNNNNNNNNNNNNNNNNNNNNNNNNNNNNNNNNNNNNNNNNNNNNNNNNNNNNNNNNNNNNNNNNNNNNNNNNNNNNNNNNNNNNNNNNNNNNNNNNNNNNNNNNNNNNNNNNNNNNNNNNNNNNNNNNNNNNNNNNNNNNNNNNNNNNNNNNNNNNNNNNNNNNNNNNNNNNNNNNNNNNNNNNNNNNNNNNNNNNNNNNNNNNNNNNNNNNNNNNNNNNNNNNNNNNNNNNNNNNNNNNNNNNNNNNNNNNNNNNNNNNNNNNNNNNNNNNNNNNNNNNNNNNNNNNNNNNNNNNNNNNNNNNNNNNNNNNNNNNNNNNNNNNNNNNNNNNNNNNNNNNNNNNNNNNNNNNNNNNNNNNNNNNNNNNNNNNNNNNNNNNNNNNNNNNNNNNNNNNNNNNNNNNNNNNNNNNNNNNNNNNNNNNNNNNNNNNNNNNNNNNNNNNNNNNNNNNNNNAUGCAUGAAACGUAGGUGAUAGCUUAUCAUAAGAAAAUAAAAUUUCCAAAUGGGAUGCUGAGUGCAUGAUCUAACUCCUUUCCUCCAAGCUAUGGGCAUAUUAAGAAUAUCAUUUUCUAACUCGGAAUCAACAGUACCAUCAGGAGCGUUGUUACCUGGAAGUUUGCUUGGAUUAGGACCCGGUUCUGCCUCAUGGGUUUGUUGAGAAAGUGAUCUUUCCUCCGUUUCCUCUUGGAUGUGCUCCUUAUCCCACAAGUCAACAAUGGACUCGGGUUGAUUAAAUGACUCUGGAGGAAUGUGAUUUUCAGUGGUGAUGGGUGACUCACUGAAUGACUCAAGAUCCCAAAAUUGAUAUUCCUGAGUUGAAUUCUCCCCCUGAAUAUCGUUUUUGGGAUAGUAAGGCUGGGUUUCAAAAAAGGUGACAUCCAUUGAAUUUUAGAAUUUUCUUGUGACCGGAGAGUAACACUUAUACCCUUUUUGAUUUGAAGAAUACCCAAGAAAGAUGCACUUGAGUGACCUAGGAUCAAGUUUACUUCUAUGUUGUUGAUUGAUAUGAACAAAGAUAGAGCACCCGAAAAUUUUAGGUGGGACGGUGGAGAUGAGACGAGUAGUCGGAAAGGAUUUUAGGAGUGUUUGACAAGGUGUUUGGAAUUUUAGUACCCUAGACGGCAUCCUAUUGAUGAGGUAGGCUGCCAUAAGGACAGCUUGCCCCCAGAAUAAUUUUGGAACAUUCAUGGAGAACAUUAGUGAUCUAGCCACCUCUAACAAAUGCCUAUUUUUCCUUUCAGCGAUUCCGUUUUGUUGUGGGGUAUCAACACAUGAAUUUAAGUGAACUAUCCCUUCUUGUGCUAGAAAUUCUCCUAGAAUGGAGUUGAAAUAAUCCCUAGCAUUAUCAGACUUUAGAAUUUGUAUUUUUGACUGGAAUUGAGUCUGAAUCAUAUUUUUAAAAUUUUUGAAAAUUUGACUCGUUUCAGAUUUUUCUUUCAUGAGGAAUACCCAAGUUAAUCUAGUGUGAUCAUCUAUGAAUGAGACAAACCACCUAGUACCAGUUACAUUUUUUAUUCUUGAUGGACCCCAGAUAUUGCUAUGAAUCAUUGAGAAUGGACUAGACUCUUUAUAGGGUUGAAUGGGAAAAUGAGACCGGACUUGCUUUGAUAAUUGACAGAUUUCACACUCAAAGGAUUUUGGAUUUUUAUUAAAUAAUGAAGGAAAUAAAUGCUUGAGAUACAUAACAUUUGGAUGACCUAAGCGAUAGUGCCACAACCUAAUUGCACUAUCGUUAUUUUGACAUGAAACCAAAAAAGAAUUACUACCAACUGUCAUUUGAGGUUGUUCUUGUGGAUCGUGGCGCUCCUUAAGGAUGUAGAGUCCAGAGCAUUCCUCAGCAUUGCCAAUCGUCUUCCCCGAAUCCAAAUCCUGAAAUUCACAGUGAGUGGAGGAAAAAUUAGUAGAUACACCUCUUUUCCUUAGUGAGUUUACUAANNNNNNNNNNNNNNNNNNNNNNNNNNNNNNNNNNNNNNNNNNNNNNNNNNNNNNNNNNNNNNNNNNNNNNNNNNNNNNNNNNNNNNNNNNNNNNNNNNNNCGUCAUAUGAUCAGAUGCUCCUGAGUCCACUAUCCAAGGUUUUUUACGUUUCUUACCAGCAGUGAAGGCACUCAAAAAAUUACCUUUGUGAGCCAAGGUUCCGGAACCAAUGACCUGGUUGGAAGAUGAGCCAGUUUGUGACUGUACUGACAAAAGAGGAGACAGUAGUUUCUGAAGCAUCUCCAUCUGAUGAGAGGAUGAAGACGAUGAGAUGAUGAUAUCAGAAGUAGAGGAUGAUGAGUUGGUAGCCAUUCCAAAGGCUGGACCGUAUUUAGGCAUAAAUUAGAAGAAUAGAAUUGAGUAAAAAAAAACUGACUAAAGAUGAAGACGAUGAGACAGGAUUAAACCUGCUCUGAUACCAUGAAGAAUUUGAAGAAAAAUAUGAAGAAUUUGAAAACAAAAUAUGGAGGAACACCUCAAUUCAUUCUGUGAUACCUUCCUUUACAAUGAAUGAAAGCAUAAAUAAAUAGCCUACGGAUAUGAGACAAUUCCGGAAGGGAAUUUCCCUUACAUGGAAAGUGAAUAAACUCUUACAUGGGAAGUGAAUAAACUACUCUUACAUGGAAAGUGAAUAAACUACCUUGCUAGAAUUACUCCUAAAUCAAUUAUAAUAAAGGCUGUACAUUACACUAAUUAGGGAAGUAAACAGAGGAUGCUGGCUUGAUUUCCAACAUGUUGGAGUGCGCAUGCUUGAGGAUGAAAACUGUGAACUUGAAAUGACUUAGAAGAUUAAUUUAAGUUUUCAAAUACAUAAAAUAUAAUUAAUAACAUAACUUAAUACAAUAAGUUAAGGCUUCCUAAAGUCUUAAAAUAAAUAACUUUUUCCCAACCUGAAAUAUCCUUUGCCUUGGUAAUAUUCAUGUUCUUCAAGAUCAAAAUUAGUUUGUUUGAUAUAUAAUUCAAAUUAAAAGAUGGAGGGUGUGCCGGGUCCUUUCUAAAUUCAAAAUGGCAUCAUGAAUCAGGUAAGGUUGUGCCCCACGGAUGAAAAUAUAGUAUUAGUUUGGACAAUGUGCCAUGGAAAGAAGAUAGAUUAAGUUCUACAUAUUCAUAUCAGUUGUCUCAGCUUUCACGGCAGACAUUUUCGACGCAAGAGACCGUCUCUUGCGGUGAGUAUUAACCACACUUCUAAAGUUGGAUGUUCGAGAAGACAACUGGGAUUGAUCAGUUUUGUCUCUUUUAUUUUCAGCUUCCUAGAAUCUCUCUCUCUAUCUCUCUUUUUUUUUUCUCAAGGUUAAUGUCAUUUUCUAUGUUGUGGUAGAGUAGAGAAGAACUCAGAAGGCAUGGCACAGACUGGCUGCAGCAAUGGAGAUAAUAGAUGGUCUCUCAAGGGAAUGACAGCCCUUGUAACGGGUGGAAUGAACUUUGAUCUGUCUCUGCCAAUUAUCACCUUGUUUUUAUAUCAAUUCUGCAGGCAUGCUGUUGUGGAAGAACUGACUGGAUUAGGUGCAAGAAUACAUACAUGUUCUCGAACAGAAACUGGGCUUAAUGAAUACUUAAGGGAUUGGGAGGGUAAAGGUUUUGAAGUCACUGGCUCAGUCUGUGAUGUAUCCUCUAGGGCCCAAAGAGAGAAGCUAAUGGAGACAGUAUCUUCUAAGUUUAAUGGGAAGCUGAAUAUCCUUGUUAGUUCCUCUAGUUUGUUAAAUGUGACCCAUCCAUUUUAGAAUCAUUUUCACUAAAUAUAAUUGAUGAGUUACCCUAACUGAAUCUUUGAAUUUAGAUCAACAACGCUGGAACUGGCAAACCGGGACGGACAGUGGAGUUCGCAGCUGAAGAGUUCUCAACGGUCAUGGCUGUAAAUUUUGAAUCUGUGUAUCAUCUAUGCCAACUUGCGCAUCCCCUUCUGAAGGCCUCAGGAGCGGGAAGUAUUGUGCUCAUGUCUUGUGUUUCAGGUGUAGUAUCACUCAAGUAUCUAUCUGCCUAUGGAGCAACCAAAGGUACUUCAUGCCACCAUCGGGUUUAUGUUGCAGGUCCUGUGUUGUUGGACAAGAUGAUAGAUAUUUACCUUUAAAAUUUUUCUUUCGGGGGCACUGAAUCAGCUUGCAAAGAACUUGGCAUGCGAGUGGGCGCAAGACAAUAUCAGGACAAACUCUGUUGCCCCUCGGUACAUCAAAACUUCUCUGGUAGAACCUGUGAGUUUAAUUCCCUUCACCUCAUUUAAAAGUUGCUGUUGUUUUCAUUGGGAAAACUGAUUAAUAAACCAAUCUUCUGUUUUGUUUUCUUUUAUUUUUUUGGUUGUAUCAUUUUGGUUUCAGUUUCUUAGUGAGAAAAGCUUUACGGAAGAGGUAAUAAGAAGAACUCCGCUUGGUCGAGUGGGGGAUCCAAAGGAGGUGUCAUCCUUGGUAGCAUUCCUCUGCCUACCAGUAUCAUCUUACAUUACUGGCCAGACCAUUUGUGCUGAUGGUGGGAUGAAUGUUAAUGGUUUCGAUCCGAGUCAAUGCUAGAAACAACUAGCAUUUAUAUAAUUGUUGUUUUCUCAUAUUUUUCAUACUCACUCUAAUAUUCUUCAUUAUCAUAUUUAUAUAUAUAUAUAUAUAUAGAUAUAUAUAUAUAUUUAUGUAGGUGUACGUGCACACGUGUGUUCAUGUGCGGAUCAUGGACAUUUUUUUUGUAUUCUGUCAUAUUCUUCUUACACUCUCAAAAUAUUCAUAUAUUUUUUACAAUCUUCAUGCAUUUUUUUUUUUUAAUUCUUGAUAUUCUCUCAUAUUCUUUGUAUAAUUUAUAUUGGAAAAAUGAAUAAAAAAAAUAUGGUUUAAAAUUGAUAAAAUAAGAAUAAAAGAUAUAAAAAUAAAAUAAAAUGAUAGAAAAAUAUCAAUAUUAGAGGAAGAUAUACUUGGAUAAUUAGACGCUAAAACCUUGAAGAUGCAAACAUAGUAUGUGGCUAUUUAAUGAGGAACUUAAGGAAUUUGUUCAAUAAUAGUAGCUACCAUGGGAUUAAAGGAUAGUGUAAACGAGUCCGAGGGAGAAACAAUUUUAAUAAAAAAUUAAUUAAAAAUUUAUAUAUUUGUAAUAAAAAUUUGAAAUAAGUUAAAUUAAUUUAAAAUGAUAUAUAAAAAUGAUUUACUGCUUUAAAUCUAUUUUUAUUUUUUAUUUUUUUUUCAUUUCUUUUUUACUUUUUCUUUAUAUAUAUAUAUAUAUAUAUAUAGAUAUAGAUAUAGAUAUAUAUAUUAUAUAUUUUUUUGAGAACCAGCCAGCUUUGGUUUCAAAGACCCUACAUUUACCCACCAUCCUUGUCAAAUAAUUAUGAGGAGCUCAUGCUUACAUGUGGAGAUUGAAAAAAAAUAAUGAUUGAAUUCCACCAAAUGAAUUAAUUUUGUUUGGCAAUUUCAUUUGAAAAUCAACAAAGAAUGAUGUGAUGUGUGAAUCUUUUUCCAUAUAUCAGCGCACAUAUUCAAAUUCAUCCCUUUCCAUUAAUCUGAUAGCGAUUAUGAGGUUGCGUAGAUGCUACGACGACGACCAAAUGUGAUGAAGAUUUCAGGAAGUGUUGGAGUGCGCAUGCUUGAGGACCAAAACUGUGAACUUGAAAUGACUAUUGAAUGCUACCAUAUGAAAUUCGGCCUGAAUCUUUUUCCAAUUCAAAUGCAGGCAGUUCCAUUAAUUUGAUAGAUAUUAUGAGGUUGCCUAUCAUGCUAAGAUAACCAAAUCCGAUGAGAAGUUCAAGAAGUGUUUUGAGUGUGUUUUAGUACUGACACCAUGAAUUCAAAAACAAAUAUAACAUAGAAACACAAAUCAAAACCCAUCACAUGAUGAUAUAGUCGAUAGGAAAUUUGCUUUCUUAAACCAUGCCACGUCCCAUGAAAAAGAAAAUUAAGAAAAUUACAAAUUUUACUUCGAUGGGCUCACAUGCUAUGUGAACCGUCCACUUAAUCGAGGUUAAGAUUAUCUUCAUUUACUUAGAAGAUAAUAAUGAAUUUUUCAAGUAAAAUUUUUUGAGAACCAGACAGCUUUGGUUUCAAAGACCCUACAUUUACCCAUCAUCCUUGUUAAAUAAUUAUGAGGAAGUCAUACUUACACGUGGAGAUUGAAAAAAAUAAUGAAUGAAUUCCACCAAACGAAUUAAUUUUGUUUGGCAAUUUCAUUUGAAAAUCAACAAAGAAUGAUGUGAGGUGUGAAUCUUUUUCCAUAUAUCAGCGCACAUAUUCAAAUUCAGCCCUUUCCAUUAAUUUGAUAGCGAUUAUGAGGUUGCGUAGAUGCUACGACGACGACCAAAUGUGAUGAAGAUUUCAGGAAGUGUUGGAGUGCGCAUGUUUGAGGACGAAAACUGUGAACUUGAAAUGACUUAGAAGAUUAAUUUAAGUUUUCAAAUACAUAAAAUAUAAUUAAUAACAUAACUUAAUACAAUAAGUUAAGGCUUCCUAAAGUCUUAAAAUAAAUAACUUUUUCCCAACCUGAAAUAUCCUUUGCCUUGGUAAUAUUCAUGUUCUUCAAGAUCAAAAUUAGUUUGUUUGAUAUAUAAUUCAAAUUAAAAGAUGGAGGGUGUGUCGGUCCUUUCUAAAUUCAAAAUUGCAUCAUCAAUCAAUCGGAUAAGGUUGUGUCCGACGGAUGAAAAUGUAAUAUUAGUUUGGACAAUGUGCCAUGGAAAGAAGAUAGAUAGAUUAAGUUCUACAUAUUCAUAUCAGUUGUCUCAGCUUUCACGGCAGACAUUUUCGACGCAAGAGACUGUCUCUUGCGGUGAGUAUUAACCACACUUCUAAACUUGGAUGUUCGAGAAGACAACUGGGAUUGAUCAGUUUUGUCUCUUUUAUUUUCAGCUUCCUAGAAUCUCUUUUUUUUUUUUUUCUCAAGGUUAAUGUCAUUUUCUAUGUUGUGGUAGAGUAGAGAAGAGCUCAGAAGGCAUGGCACAGACUGGCUGCAGCAAUGGAGAUAAUAGAUGGUCUCUCAAGGGAAUGACGGCCCUUGUAACGGGUGGAACUAGAGGAAUCGGGUCCGUGUUACCUGUUUUUCUGUUCUGGAAUGAACUUAAUUUGAUCUGUCUCUGCCAAUUAUCACCUUGUUUUUAUAUCAAUUCUGUAGGCAUGCUGUUGUGGAAGAACUGACUGGAUUAGGUGCAAGAAUACAUACAUGUUCUCGAACAGAAACUGAGCUUAAUGAAUAUUUAAGGGAUUGGGAGGGUAAAGGUUUUGAAGUCACUGGCUCAGUCUGUGAUGUAUCCUCUAGGGCCCAAAGAGAGAAGCUAAUGGAGACAGUAUCUUCUAAGUUUAAUGGGAAGCUGAAUAUCCUUGUUAGUUAACCUCUAGUUUGUUAAAUGUGGCCCAUCCAUUUUAGAAUCAUUUUCAUUAAAUAUAAUUGAUGAGUUACCCUAACCGAAUCUUUGAAUUUAGAUCAACAACGCUGGAACUGGCAAACCGGGACGGACGGUGGAGUUCACAGCUGAAGAGUUCUCAAGUAUCAUGGCUGUAAAUUUUGAAUUUGUCUACCAUCUAUGCCAACUUGCUCAUCCCCUUUUGAAGGCAUCAGGAGCGGGAAGUAUUGUGCUCAUGUCUUCUGUUGCAGGUGUAGUAUCACUCAAGUAUUUAUCUGCCUAUGGUGCAACCAAAGGUACUUCAUUCUACCAUAGGGUUUAUGUUGCAGGUCCUGAGUUGUUGGACAAGAUGAUAGAUAUUUACCUUGAUAAUUUUGCUUCAGGGGCACUGAAUCAGCUUGCGAAGAGCUUGGCAUGCGAGUGGGCGCAAGACAAUAUCAGGGCUAACUCUAUUGCUCCUUGGUUCAUCAAAACUUCUCUGGUAGAACCUGUGAGUACCCUUCACCUCAUUUGAAGUUGCUGUUGUUUUCAUUGGGAAAACUGAUUAAUAAACUAAUCUUCUGUUUUGUUUUCUUUUAUUUUUUUGGUUGUAUCAUUUUGGUUUCAGUUUCUUAGUAAGAAAAGCUUUACGGAAGAGGUAAUAAGAAGAACUCCGCUUGGUCGAGUGGGGGAUCCAAAGGAGGUGUCAUCCUUGGUAGCAUUCCUCUGCCUACCAGCAUCAUCUUACAUUACUGGCCAGACCAUUUGUGUUGAUGGUGGGAUGAGUAUUAAUUGUUUCGAUCCAAGUCAAUGCUAGAAACACCUAGCAUUUAUAUUAAUAUAUGUUGUUUUCUCAAAACCGCUUCUGUUUUUGGGAUUAUUUGCUCGUGAUAGUGACCUUGUGGUCCUAGGAUUAAUGCAUGGUUACCAAAUAUUAAGUCUAUGCUUCCAAUAAAUAUUAAAAAAUUUCUUAUUAUUCAAUCACGGAUUUCUACCUUCUUCUCCGGUCAUAGAUACUGUUUAGGUCUCCGGUGCAUUCCCCGCUCACCCACCUACAUCUGAUUGGUUGCAACGUUCAAUCACGGAUUUCUUAUUAUUCAUAUAUCUUUUAGUACAUUUUUUCAAAUUCUUGAUAUUUAUUCGUAUUAUUUGUAUAAUUUAUAUAAGAAAAAAUGAUUUAAAAUAAAAAUAUAUGGUUUAAAAUUGAUAAAAUAUCAUGAAUAACGUUUUACAAUCCAUAAGAUACAAAAAUAAAACAAACUGAUAGAAAAAUAUCGACAUUGGUUAAAAAUAAUUAAGUUAAUCGCGAGUAUAACUAAAUCAUCUCAACUUGAUGAAUGAUAAAUUCAUUUAUAAAAAAAUUUAAAAUAAAAAACCUAUUAAUUAUUGAAAAUUCAAAUAUGAUUUGAUAUAAAUGUUUUGUUAUGAAAUUUACAUUUGUAUGAAAAAAUAGUAAACUUUUCUUAAGGUUCGUAGUCCCCUGGAAACAUUUUUUAGUAUUUUUUUCGAGAGGUACAAAUUUCUUGCUUACUUUAAUAUAUUUAAGACACAAAAUUUGACAUAUAUAUUUGAUCCAUCAAUCAAAACUCCCAUCCCACACACAUUUUGUAAAGUUAGAGCCAUUAGUUUUUAUAUUCAAUUUUUACCUCUUUUUUUGCAUAUUUUAAUAAGAAUAAAUUAGAUGUUGUAAUUUCUUAUUUUAAAUAAGAGUAUGAUACCACAUUAAACGAUAAAAUAAAAAUUGUAUAUAUGUGAAAUAUAUGUCAUUAUUCAUCUUGAUAUGUAUUAUACUGUUUACCUCUUCAACAAGUUUUGUAAAAUUUUUUGUUUUGUAGUAAGUAAAGUGUGGAGAGUUACCCUCAAAGACAUGGGAUUUAAAAGAAAUAAGAAAAAGAGAAAAAUGUCAAAUAUUUCUUAUUAUAAUCACUUGAAAAAUAAGUCCAAUACACGUGGAGUUGAAAUAGGUUUACAAUCAAAGGAAGUAAAAGAAAAAAAGAUAAACUAAUCUUUCCUUGCUCCAAAAAAGAAAGAUAAUAAUGUUGAUGUGGUAAAUAAAUUAAUAAUUUUAACAUCUCCCCACAAACUCAUAAAACUCAUAAUGCGGUUGUAAGAAGUAGUGAGAGCUUAAAUAAAUUAACUUACAAUAAAAUGAAGUAAAAGAAAAAAAUUAAUUUACCCUUACUCGAUAAAUCUUUAGUAUAUUAUUAUUAUUAUUAUUAUUAUUAUUAUUAUUAUAUCUCAAAGUCAAGAUUAUGAACAUGAAAAUUAAACAUAUCGCGCUUCAAUCUUGACAAGACUAAUAUAAAGUGAGGUUUUCCCCUUCUUAUUAUUAAUAUUAUUAUUAUCACUACUACGAUAUCUUUGUUUACACUAAAAUCUUUUCUUUAAUGCCCUCAAAGUCAAGAUUACGAACAUAAAAAGCAUGUCACACUUCAAUGUUCACAAGACUAAUACAAAAUGAGGUUUCCUCCUAAAUUUAUUAUUACCAUUACAUAUCUUUGUUUACACUAAAAUCCUAUCUUUAAUACCCUAAAAGUCAACAUUAGGAACAUGAGAAACAUUUCACUAUUUAAUGUUGACAUGACUAAUACAAAGUGAGGUUUCCCUAAAUUUAUUAUUAUUAUUACAUAUCUUUGUUUUCACUAAAAUCUUAUCUUUAAUACCCUAAAAGUCAAUAUUAGGAACAUGAGAAACAUUUCACAAUUUAAUGUUGACAAGACUAAUACAAAGUGAGGUUUUCCCCUAAAUUUAUUAUUAUUAUUACAUAUCUUUGUUUCCAUUAAAAUCUUAUAUUUAAUACCCUAAAAGUCAAUAUUAGGAACAUGAAAAGUAUAUCACACUUCAAUGUUGACAAGACAUUAUACAAAGUGAAGUAUUAUUUCCAUAAUAUCUUUGCUUACACUAAAAUCUCAUCUUUAAUAUCCUUGAAGUUAAGAUUAUGAGCAUGAAAAAUAUGGCAUACUUCAAUGUUGACAAGAUUAAUACAAAGUGAGGUUUCUUCGUCAAUUUAUUAUUAUUACUACAAUAUCUUCCUACACUAAAAUCUCAUCUUUAAUAGCUCAAAGUUAAUAUUACAAGCAUGAAAGUUCAACAUGCCAUCCUCCAAUCUUAACAAGGCUAAUACAAAUUGUGAUUUCCCUAAUUUUUUUUCCAUUGUCUUUCUUUUUCUUGUACCUGUUGUGAUCGAUUUAGGUCACAAGCCAAAUAAUUGCAAGAAAAUGAACUCACACGUGAAAAUUGAGAAGGAUGAAAUAUUCUCUAACAUUGCACACUCUUAGAAGAAAAAUCAUUUGGUUGACAAUUUUAUUUGAGACUAACAAAUUGACGGAAGGACAUGAUGUGAGGCCAGCUUGUAUAUGCUUUUAUUCAAAUCUAGCCACAUGAUGAAUCCUACAAACUCCUUUCCCAUUUUUUUAUUGCAAUGUUUUAAAUGAUGCCACGUACCUAAAUUCUUGAAAUUUUGAGUCAGUUAAAGACAUGUCUGGAUGGCAUGGAGGAGAGUUAGGGGGCUAUUCGGCUUGUACCCCUUCAAAUUCAGCCUGCUCCAUUAAUUUGAUAGCUAUCGUGAGGUUGCCUAUGAUGCUAAGAUAACCAAAUGUGAUGAGGAUUUCAAAAAGUAUUCGAGUGUACUUCAGUACCAAAUCUGUGAAAUGAUUAUUGAAUGCUACCUAAUUUUGUUUGAAAUUUUCAUUUGAAAUUAAAUAAAUAAAUAUGUGAGGCCUAAAUCUUUUUCCAUCAUAUUGUACUCAUGUUCAAAGUCUGCCACUUCCAUUCAUUUGACAGCUAUAAUGAGGUUGUCUAUGAUGCUAAAAAUGACCAAACGUGAUGAUGAUUUCAAGAAGUAUUCCAGUAUAUUUUAAUUGGCAAUGUUUUAAAGAUAGGUAUCAUUCAUCCUAAAAAUUCAUCCAUUCAUGUUCAUUGCAUGGUCGAAAUGUUAUUAAACAACUAACAUUAUAAAUAUAUAAUUUAUAUUUUAUUAAAAUUAAAAAUAAUUUUUAAAAACUAAUAUGUAUAUAUAUAUAAUUAAAAACCAAUUAUAUUUAUUUUUUAAUCUUUUAUAUAAAUGUACUAAUAAUUAAAAUUUUAUUAAAUAAAAUAUGUAAAAUUUGAAAAUUGAAUAAAAUUUGCAUUAUAUAUAUAUAAAAGUUUAAAAGAUACUAGAUUAUUUUAUUCAUAUUGAAUUUCUGAAAUAAUAUACAUAUUUUUUUCUUUAGUUUCACAAACAUUAACAUUUGGAUAAGUAGCUGAGUAGUUGUUCCUGAAAAUGCUCAAGCACAUAUUAGCAAGAAUGAAGAAUUUGUUUCUAUUCUUUCAUAUUUUACAGUAGACCAAUGGCUAUAUAUAUAUAUUACAAUGUAACUAAUCUAACCAUCUAUUGAACUACCUAACCAUCUUCUAACUAAUCAUAACAACAUCUGUUAGAGAGGAGAAGAAUCAGCUGCUGGUGCGGGUGCUUGUCUAUCAUCCCCCCGCAAGCUGACAGGUCUUGGGACAAUAGAGAAAUGAGUACGAGCGGCUGAGAACUAACAGCUUGGAACAUAUUUAGUAAAGACAUCUGCCAACUGGUCGGUAGAAGGAACAUAUUGAAUUAAAAGCUCUUUGCGAAUGACCUUAUCACGGACAAAGUGAAGAUCAAUCUCUAUGUGCUUGGAACGGGCAUGGAAGACAGAGUUAGCUGCAAGAGGAGCAGCACUGAUAUUGUCACACCAGAUCAAAGGAGUGUUCGGUUGAGGAAUGCACAACUCUUUGAUCAGAAACUGAACCCAGGAGACCUCAACAGCGAGAAAAGCAAGUGCCCGGUACUCCGAUUUUGCACUACUACGAGAGACGACACGUUGCUUGGUAGAGGACCAUGAGAUGAGAUUGGUGCAAAAAAAAAAGACAAAAGCCACUAGUGCUUCUUCUAUCAUCGAGACAUGAAGCCCAAUCCGCAUCGGUAUAGCCUUGAAGAGACCAAGAUGGUGAGGCAUGGAUAGAAAGACCAUGAGUAGCAGUACCUUUGAGAUAGCGAAGUAUGUGUUUAGCAGCUUGCAGAUGAGAAGUGAUAGGAUGAGCCAUGUAUUUACAAGCUUGAUUUACUGCAAAUGAGAUUUUUGGUCUUGUGAGAGUGAUGUACUGAAGAGCACCCACAAGACUGUGAUAGUGAGUAGCAUCAAGAGCAGAUAAAGGUUCUCCAUCUGCUGCUGAUAACAAUUUUCCCAAAGCACCAAGUGUGCUAGCAGAUUUGGCCCCAAGAAGAUCAGCACGCUCAAGUAGCUGAUGUAUGUAGCGUUGUUGAUUGAGAUGAAGAACAUGAGGAAGCCGGGUGACUUCAAUGCCAAGGAAGUAGCUAAUAUCUCCAAGGUCUUGAAGAGCAAAAUGGGAGCUAAGCUGAGAAAUGAUAUGAUGGACCUGUGGUGGAUUGUUGCCAGUAAUGAGAAUAUCAUCCACAUAGAUUGAGAUGAUGAUAAUAUCAGAUGCAGAGUGGAAAUAAAAUAAAGAUGCAUCAGCCCUUGAGCAUUGGAAUCCCAAUUGUAAGAGAAAGGAGCUGAGCUUGUGGAACCAGGCUCGAGGCGCUUGUUUAAGGCCAUAGAGAGCCUUCUGUAGACGACAAACAUGAGUGGGGCAAGAGCUAUCUUCAAAGCCUAGAGGUUGCAUCAUGAACACCUGUUCUUAAAGAUCUCCAUUUAAAAAAGCAUUGUGGACAUCUAGUUGUUUAAUAGGCCAGUUGGAAGAGACAACAAUGGAGAGAACAAGCCUGAUAGUGCAAGGCUUCACAACUGGACUAAAUGUCUCAAAAAAAUCAAUGCCAUAGGUUUGAUGAAAACCUUGGGCAACCAGCUGAGCUUUGUACCUGUCAAUGCUGCCAUCAGGUUUAUGUUUGAGUUUGAAGACCCAUUUACACCCAAUAAUUUUGGCAUUAGAUGGAGGUGGCACCAAAGACCAAGUUUGAUUCUUCAAUAGAGCUUGAUAUUCUUGUUCCAUAGCAAGCUUCCAAUUAGGGUCUUGAAAAACCUGUUUGACAGUACGUGGCUCAGCUAUGAGUGAGGUAAGAUAGGUCUUCUUCUUAUAGAUACCAAAUUUGGAUCUGGUAAUCAUAGGAUGACUAGGAAUUGGAGCUAUGGAAUCCUGGAGGGAAGCAGUAGAAAUCUCAGCUGCUUCAUCCACAAAUGGCACCUGAAUGAGCGGGGGUAAAGACAAAAAGCUGGCUAGAGGUGAUGUGGGGGCAAGUUCGGAUGGGAUAGCCGGAGAAGAGCUGGUUGUGGAGGGGAAAAGAACAGAAGAUGGAGGAAAAAGAAAUGCUGGAGUGACAGGAAAAUGAGAUGAUUGGUGGGAAGGAGAAGUCAAUGCUUGAAAUGGAAAUGUAGUCUCUACAAAGACUACAUGCCUAGAGAUAUAUACUCUGCCAGUUGUAAGAUUAAGGCAAAAAUAACCCUUGUGAAAUGUUGCAUAACCAAGAAAGAUACAGGGUAUGGACUAUGGCUGAAAUUUGUUGGAGUUGAGAUGUCUGAGGUGUGGAUAACAAAGACAACCAAAGACUUUGAAAUGGAAAUAAUCAGGUGGGUGUUUGUAAAGAAGAGAAAAUGGGGAGCUGUAAUUGAGCAAAGGAGAAGGCAUGCAAUUGAUAAGGGUAAUUGUUGUAGUGAAAGCAUAGGACCAAAAUUUGGAUGGCAGGGCAGUUGUGUAAAGAAGAGUGAGCCCGAUUUCUACAACAUGGCGCAUUUUGCGUUCAACCCGACCAUUUUGUUCAGGUGUAUAAGGGCAAGAAAAUCUAUGGAGUAUACCAUGAAGAGAUAGAAACCGGAGGGUAGUGAACUUUCCACCAUGGUCUGUUUGAAGGCAUUUAAUGGUGGUCUGAAAUUGGUUUUCAACAAGAGUUUUAAAUUGAACAAAAGUGGAGUAAACCUGGUCCUUGGUGAGGAGUAAAUAUAUCCAUACAAACCUAGAGUAAUCAUCCAUGAGCAACAAAAAAUACCAGGCACCUGCGGAGGAAGGAACAGGUGUUGGUCCCCACAAGUUUGCAUGGAUGAGUUCAAGAGGAGAGGAGGCCCGGGAAGUGGACAAAGAAAAAGGAAUUUUGUGACUUUUGGCAUAACAACAAGCAUUGCAAACAUCAAUUGUUUUAUUUGAGUUAUAUGAAAUAUUACAUGUAUGAAAAAUUUUCUGAAGUAUUAUAGCAGAAGGGUGGCCAACUCGUUGAUGCCACAACAUAGUAGUGGGCUGAGUUUUUGUGAGAAACACUUGAUGUUUAGAAUUGGCAGUAGGUGAGUUGAUAGAUGAGGUAGGAAAUUUGUAGAGUCCACGUUCAAGUUGGCCUUGGAGAAGAGUCACUUUGGUAUCCUUGUCCUUGACAAAAAAUGAAAAAGGAUGAAAUUCAAGAAUGGUAUUAUUAUCAGUACAGAAUUUUGACACACUGAUGAGAUUUGAAGUGAGUUGUGGAACAUGAAGCACAUUGUGUAAAACAAAGGGUUUAGCAGAAAUGUGGAGAAAGGAAUGACCAACUUGGGUUAUGGGUAGGGACUUACCAUUGCCAACCAUCACAGAGUCAGUACCAUUGUAUGAAGUACCAUUGUGGAUAUUAGCAACUGUGUGGGAGAGAUGGUGGGUGGCGCUUGAAUCCAAAAACCAGGAGUCCGUUGAUGCUGGGGAAGGUGCUGCCAUCAUGGCUUGAGCAGGAGGAGUGGGACCAGUUUGAGAGGUUGAUGAGGCUGGUGCAUGUGGCCCUUGAUAAUUCACAUCAAAUCUGUGAUAACAAGAGAGGACCAUGUGCCCAAACUUGCCACAUAACUGACACUGUGGUUGGUUAUUUGUCCGGGAUCGAUUAUUGUUGAAUCGGUUAGGGCGAUAUCCUUGAGGAUGUUGCUGUCGUGAAUUUGGAAGAGUGUCAGGUCGUGGGGUUGGCAUGAAUGACUGAGGUGGUUUCCCUUGAGAGGGUUUGAUGGACUGUGACCUUCGUGGUCUGUUAUGAGUUGCAAUAUUGGCAAUGAGGAGGUCUUCUUCAGCAGUUGUGGUUUGAAGAUGCAGCCUCUAUUCAUGAGUCAGAAGGAUGCUAUGUACCGCAUGAAGUUGAAGGUCAUCAUCUCUAGCUGUGAGAGAAGCCAUGAUGGGGUUGUAUUCAACCCCUAGUCCACUUAGUAAUUGAAGAAUUUGAUCCUUUUCUGGCACUGGUUCUCCAAUAGCUGCUAGACUAUCAGAGAUGUGUUUGAGUUUUUGGAUGUAUUCCAUCAUGGUAAGAGGGCCUUUUUUGGUUGUUUGAAAAGCAAGUCUCAGCUGCAUUGUUCUUGCUUUGGUGGAAGCAGAGAAGCUUCAUUGGAGGGUUGUCCAUGCUUCAUGGGAUGUUCGUAGCCCAACAAUUUGGCCCAUAACAUCUGGAGUGAGAGAGGAGUAGAUCCAACUCAGGAUCAUACGAUCAUAUCUCCUCCAAACCAGAAAAUCUGGGUUCACUUCUCCGGUGGAUAUUAUUUUUGGAGGACAUGGUCUCAGACCUUCAAUAUAGUCCUCAAAUCCAUUGGCAUAUAUCACAUUUUCCAUUUGUGUAUGCCAAAGGAUAUAGUUAUCUCUAUCUAGUUUGAUAGGAAGAGGAUGGUUCAGCAUGCUCAUGUUCAGGGUAGAGGUUACCUGAGAAGAGACAAUCUCCGGCGUGGUUUGUGUUGAUGAAGCCAUCGGAAACUAGGUACAGUAUGUUCUUGAAGCUUUCUUGAGGUGAGUAAGAAAAGCAAAAGGUAAUCUGCAGAUGAUGUAUAUCAGAAGAAAGUUGCAGUAGAAAGAGUUGUUGGAGAUUUCUUUAUUGUCUUGCUGGGGAGAGAAAUCAAAAAACGAAAAUUCAUGAGCCUAUGGCUCUGAUACCAUGAAAAUGCUCAAGCACAGAUUAGCAAGAAUGAAGAAUCUGUUUCUAUUCUUUCUUAUUUUACAGUAGACCAAUGGCUAUAUAUAAAUAUUACAGUGUAACUAAUCUAACCAUCUAAUCAUCUAUUGAACCACCUAACCAUCUUCUAACUAAUCAUAACAGCAUCUGUUAGAGAGGAGAAGAAUCAGUUGCUGGUGCGGGUGCUUGUCUAUCAGUUCCAAGUUACCUUAAACCUUGAAAGGAUCAAGUCCUUUUGAUUUUGUUUAAAUAAGCUACUAAGCUACUGCUCACUCCACAUUGGAAAUUCAAGGGGAUGAAAAAAGGUUUAUAAAUCUCAUUCAUCUCCAACAGGUCACAUGGCCUUUAGGCCGUGGGAGGCAAUGCGGUGAGUGGGUCGUGUGCUCUAAAUGGAGGCCUAUUUUUGCAACAAAAGAAAGACCGAAACCAAACCAAGCAUGAACCAAAUCGGAUCAAGAUCCAGUCGACGGUCUGACUAGUUCAGUAGGAAUUUUUCAUAAUAUGGUUUAAUGGCAUGUAGAUAUUCUUUAGUCAAAGUUUUAAUAAGCCCAUCAAAAGUUGUAAUAUUUUAUGUUAUAAGUUAAUAGAGAAUAUUUUUUACUUUAAAUUUUUGUUGGUAUUUUCCCAUAAUCUAUAGUUAUUAAGGCAUUGAUAUUUUCUCAAAUUAUAGAAUUAAGUUCUAAAACAACAUUUAUUUUGACAUAGAUGAACAUUUGAAAGAUUAUAAUUUAUCUUUAACUUAUUUUUCUUUAUAACCAAAAUCUUUUCUCUCGAUUUUUCAUAAUAUUUGAUUAUGAUUAAUUAUUCAUGCAUACAAUCUAGGUCUGAAUCUAUUAUCUUCAACACUUAUUUUUAUUUUUUUAUGUCAUGUUUGAAAAUUUACUUUAGAUAGUAAGUCAAUAAAUGUUUCUAAAGGUAAAUGAGUGUUUGGUAUUAUGAUUCUUAGAUCUUGACUAGUAAGGGAUUCUUUAUAAUUUGUUCAUUUUAUUACUUGAGCUAAUUUAAUUCUCUAUUUAUUAAUUUCUUAUAUUUCAUCAUGUAAAUUUUGAAUAGUUAUAAGUUUGUGAAUAGUUUUGAAUCUAUUAAAUAUUUCAUCUAUAAUAUUGAUUAGAUUUGGGUUCUUGAAGUCUACUUAUCUCUUUAAUUUGUAAGAAUUAAAUCUUUUAAAUAUAACAAAUAUUGAAUUUUUAUGUUGAAUCCUCUAUUUUAUGACAUCAAAAAAUAUUUAUUUAUUUACUUUUGAAUAAAUCAUAUUUAUUAUUUUAUAUGAACAAACAUACUCACUUUCACAUUCAUUUUCAUCAUUAGAGUCUUCUAGACUAAUUAUAUUGGUUUAAUGUGUCUAGUAUUUGUGAUAAAUUUCAUAAAAAUAUUCAAGUGUAAAUAUUAAACUACAUAGUAUACUGUCACAUAUGACACAUUUCAAAUAGUAAAGACUAAAACCAUAAUUAAAGAUAACUUAGGUUUUAUUUUUUUUGUCAAAAAUAUUAUAAUUUUAAUUAAUUGAAUUAUUAAUUUUUCAAAAAUUUAGAAAAAAUAAAAAAUAGUAUUUUAAAAUUUGGCUCUCUUGAAAAUCAUGAGAGGAUAAAAAUUGGUAAAAAAAUAAAUAAAUUUAGAAAAGGUUAUUGAGAUUAAUUAAGUACAUCCUUGCCAUGAUAUUUAAUAUUUUUUUUAUGUUUUAUAAAUAGGGUAAAUGGACAUCGUUCUAAAUACAGGAAGAUGAUAUUAUUAUAUAUAAAAAAAAUGUAAAAAUAGUGAGUAAUAUUAUUAAAAAUAUCUCAUGGAAUGGGGCAAGAUAAAGGGCCAAAAAAAAAAAAAUUAGAGAAGAAAGAAGAAAAAGAAGAGUGUUGUAAGCACAGGAAGUCAAAAGUACUGUAUAAGCGUGAUUCAUCCCUGUUUCCUACUUCGAUUAUAAAGUAUGGACAGAGAUACAGAAAAAAAAAAAGAGAAGAAGCAGCAUUCAGCUUUCACCAGUGCAGAGUGGUAUGGUGGUGUAGCAUAUGUUUGGUUGUUAUUCUUGCUCCAAACAAGUGUGAGCUGAUCCAUUUCUAUACUCAUUUUUGUUAUCUCAGUCGACUGAUUCGUUUAGUGGGCCUGGUGUUAGCCAAAAGCUAGCCACCAAUUUUCUUUGCUUUAUCCCAUUACAUUAGAAUAAAAAGAAAAUGGAGGUUUGAGAGGGCCAUUGGGACCAUUGGGACCAUUAUCAGUUGUCUUUUGUUUUCAAGUUGUAAGAAGUCCUGUCAAGGUUUAUGUCAUUUGCUAUGUUGUUUCUGUUCCAUUUUCAGUUCAAAGAGUGGUAGAGUAGAGAAGGAGGCAUGGCUCAGACAUUUGGGUGCAGCUCUGGAGAUAGUAGAUGGUCUCUCAAGGGAAUGACUGCUCUUGUAACUGGUGGAACUAAAGGAAUUGGGUUGGUGUUACCUGUUUUUAUGUCUUUGGGUUUGGACUAUACCUUCCUAUAUAUAAACGUAUGUAUCAAUUCUGCAGGCAUGCAAUUGUGGAGGAACUGGCUGGAUUAGGAGCAACCAUACACACGUGUUCUCGAAAAGAAACUGAGCUCAAUGAAUGCUUGAAGGAUUGGAAAGCUAAAGGUUUUGGAGUGAGUGGUUCAGUGUGUGAUGUAUCCUCUCGGGCACAAAGGGAGAAGCUAAUGGAGACUGUCUCUUCUGUGUUCAAAGGGAAGCUGAAUAUCCUUGUAAGUUCCUCUAGUCUCUAAGGUUCCUAUCCAUGAUAUUCCACAUACUUUGUCGAACUUCCUACAAUUUGAGUUCCCCUACUUGAUAUAUAUAUUUUGGUUCCGGAUUCAGGUCAACAACGCUGCUAUUGUUAUUCAGAAACCAACAGUAGAGGUCACGGCAGAAGAGUUCUCAACAAUCAUGGCCAUAAAUUUUGAAUCUGUGUAUCAUCUGUCCCAACUCGCACACCCCCUUUUAAAGGCAUCAGGAGCGGGAAGCAUUGUAUUCAUCUCCUCUGUUGCCGGCGUAGUGUCAGUCAAGUAUCUGUCUGCUUAUGCAGUAACCAAAGGUAUUUCAUUACAUGAUCCACAGUAUAUAUAUAUAUCGCAAGUUCUUGGGUUGUGGCCCUUGUGGCCUUCUCGGCGUGUCAUUAUCAUUAUCAUUUUGUGAUUUUUCAGGAGCAAUGAAUCAACUUACAAAGAAUUUGGCAUGCGAGUGGGCGGAAGACAAUAUUAGAAGUAAUGCAGUUGCUCCUUGGUGCAUCAAAACUCCGAUGGUGGAUCAGGUAAUUCAGUUGCUCUUCUUUUUUGUCUGGGAAAAUUCAAUAAUCAAUUCCUCUCUCUUUUCUGUCUUUUGCAUAAUCUGGGUUGCAGAUGCUCAGUAACAAAACCUUUCUGGAAGGGGUGAUAAAUCGAGCUCCACUUCGCCGUGUGGGAGAUCCGAAGGAGGUGUCAUCUUUGGUGGCAUUCCUCUGUCUACCAGCAUCAUCUUACAUUACUGGACAGACUAUUUGUGUUGAUGGUGGCGUGACUGUUAAUGGUUUUGAGCCAAACCUGUUCUAGGAACAUCAUUAAGACUCUAAAAAAUCUUAGCUUCUUCUACCGCUUUCCUGUUUGGAUCCUGUCUUUUUCCUGAAUAAUAUGUUUGUGGUGGUAAGUACUCUUCUGUUUUUUCGGUGUGGGGUUCAUUUGAAAACAUUGUUGCAUGAUGCUUAUAAUAAUCGUUGGAAAGUUGGAAGAAGUUACUUAUCAUUGGAUGAGAUUCUUGUGAUGGGUGUUUCCUAUAAUCAGAUUUAUCUUGUUAUAAGGUUGUUGUUGUUGUAGUAAUAGGAUUGAAAGAGAAAUGCAAAUAAUCGUAAAAGGAUGAUGAAAAUUCAUCAUUUUUACUUAUUCAAAUAU